rnacentral:rRNA from 1 species
UACGUAGGGUGCGAGCGUUGUCCGGAAUUAUUGGGCGUAAAGAGCUCGUAGGUGGUUUGUCGCGUCUGGCGUGAAAGCCCAUGGCUUAACUGUGGGUCUGCGUUGGAUACGGGCAGGCUAGAGGCUGGUAGGGGCAAGCGGAAUUCCUGGUGUAGCGGUGAAAUGCGCAGAUAUCAGGAGGAACACCGGUGGCGAAGGCGGCUUGCUGGGCCAGUUCUGACGCUGAGGAGCGAAAGCGUGGGGAGCGAACAGG